GCGGGGCCGGGCACUUCCGUCCGGCGCGCGGCGUCCUCCUCCCGCUCGGAAGGUCCCAGGUGUGACACCUUCAGCAGGUCUCAGGGAAGAUGGCAGCCCUAGGGGACAUUCAGGAGUCCCCUUCUGUCCCGUCCCCUGUCAGUCUCUCAUCACCGGGGACACCUGGAGCCCAGCACCACGAGCCUCAGCUUCACCUCCAUGGGCAUCAACAUGCCAGGAAAGCACCCACCUCCCGCCUGUCCCCAGAUGUGUACAACCACCUCGCCCCACCUGGAAGACCAGCCCCAGCAGUGCUGCCAGAUCCCCUCCAGUGGUGUCCCAGCACAGGGCAAAGGUGGCAAGGCUGUCUCAGGUGAUGUCCUCACCGCCACCUCUGCAGGAGCACCACACUGGAGCCUGCCCUGCAUUUGGCCAUCUGUGGAACAAGCCAGCUCCCCUGGCUGCCAGGGGACGGUGACAUGGUGGCCACAAGCUGGGGGUGAGGGUCAUAGCCCAGAGAGGCCAGUGCCCCCAGGCCUGUCUGCACAAUGGGGAGUGUAUCCGAAAGGCCCAAAGGUGGUUUGGGACCCCCCACAUCCUGCUUUGGAGCAGCCAAGCAGCUCUGGACCCUCGGCUCUCGAGGAAGGGA
rnacentral:sRNA from 1 species